ACCUCUAGCGCGCACGCUGGGACCCGAAAGAUGGUGAACUAUGCCUGGUCAGGACGAAGUCAGGGGAAACCCUGAUGGAGGUCCGCAGCGAUUCUGACGUGCAAAUCGAUCGUCAGAACUGGGUAUAGGGGCGAAAGACCAAUCGAACCGUCUAGUAGCUGGUUCCCUCCGAAGUUUCCCUUAGGAUAGCUGGCGCUCGCUUUGCGAGAGUCUCAUGCGGUAAAGCGAAUGAUUAGAGCGAAUCGGGGUCGCGCCGCAAAAGCGCACCGCCGAACGAACGCCUCGUUCUGUUCUUGAAUGUCGCGUCGGGCGUGCCGAACGCCGGCGAGAACGCGUCGGGUUCGAGGGGCCGCAAUAACGACGGGCACAAGUCCCGCCGCGCCGCCUCGAGCUUCCCGAACGUUCCCAUUGCGCGUCGGCGACUCCCAACGGGUCGCGACGUCCUACCGGCGCGAGAAGUGCACGCCGUCGCCGCAUCACCCGCGGCGUCGGACG
rnacentral:rRNA from 1 species